rnacentral:tRNA from 1 species
GAGGAGCAAUUUGGUAGCCCACAAGGCUCAUAACCUUGAGGUCACGGGUUUAAUUCCUGUC